rnacentral:lncRNA from 1 species
UAUCAUUGCUUUUAGAAUUUCAAGUUCAAUUAUUAAAUAAAACUUAUCUUUUAUAAUUUCUUUUAGGAUUAUCUAUCAAAAUCUCUUUUGUAUAAGUCGUUUGGAUUAGAGCGUCAUCCAAUCUUGUAUUACACACUAUUAAAAAUCUCAUUGAGUCGCAAUGAAUCGUUUUGAUUAAAACAAUAACUAAUCACGUUUUGAUUAGAGCGUAAACUAAUCGUAUUGACUUAGUCCAAUACUAGAACGAUAUCUAGUAUUUCUUACCCUAUCAAUUCUGCUUUUGUUACGCCUCGUUCUAUCAAUUAGUAUCAUACACAGCUUUCUUAGAUAGCCCAUACCCAUCCACACCAAAUCCAUAAAAAAAUCAAAAAAAUAAAACUUUACAAAUUUGAAAACCCUAGCCGCCACAUCAACCUCCACCGCCGCGGCCCACCACCGCCGAUCAGCCAGCCAACACCACCACAAACCUCGCUAGCCACUGCCGACCAAGCCGCAGCCAUCGCUGCCUCAACUGCCGCCUGAACAGCCGCAAAUCACCAACCCAAACCCGCGACUCCACCAAGCAAUCCACCACCAUUCAGCCACCUCCACCAACAAACUCGCCGGCCUCCGUUGACCAAAAACCGACCAACUUCAGCCCUUGAUCGCGGCCUGCAGUCACCACACGAAACGACAACCCACGAGUGCUUCCUACACGCGCCGCCACCAAAUCACCUCCUUUUUCCGUCAAUUUACACCACCACCAUAAUCCCUAGUAGUCGGCGACCGUAAAUCCAGUCGUCCGCCACCGUAAGGUAGCCAUAAACUGAAAGCCAAUUCAAGUCGGAUUUCCCCCAAUUCAAGCUGCUGAAUAUAAAAAGGGCUCAUAUGGAAAUUACCUAAAGUUUCAAAUAUUGUUAUUCAGCAAUCAUUUUUAAGUUACAUUAGUUUCUACACAAAUUUUACAUAAAUAAUUUAUAACUCCCAUUAUUAUUUUAAAAAACUGUAGCAAUUGUGGUUAUGUCACAUGAAAAAAAAUUCUAAUUAAAGAAAUUGAUAUUAUAAUUUAAGGGAUAGUUGCUCUUUUAAUCAUUAGAAUUUAAGUCAAUUAUCCAGCUUAUCCUUGCAUUCUUAAAAACUAUAUACAAUACCAUUAUCUCUGCUUUUGUAGCUAUUGAAUU